rnacentral:rRNA from 1 species
ACACAUGCAGUCGAGCGGUAGAGAGAAGCUUGCUUCUCUUGAGAGCGGCGGACGGGUGAGUAAUGCCUAGGAAUCUGCCUAGUGGUGGGGGAUAACGUUCGGAAACGGACACUAAUACCGCAUACGUCCUACGGGAGAAAGCGGGGGACCUUCGGGCCUCGCGCCAUAGAUGAGCCUAGGUCGGAUUAGCUAGUUGGUGAGGUAAUGGCUCACCAAGGCGACGAUCCGUAACUGGUCUGAGAGGAUGAUCAGUCACACUGGAACUGAGACACGGUCCAGACUCCUACGGGAGGCAGCAGUGGGGAAUAUUGGACAAUGGGCGAAAGCCUGAUCCAGCCAUGCCGCGUGUGUGAAGAAGGUCUUCGGAUUGUAAAGCACUUUAAGUUGGGAGGAAGGGCAUUGACCUAAUACGUUAGUGUUUUGACGUUACCGACAGAAUAAGCACCGGCUAACUUCGUGCCAGCAGCCGCGGUAAUACGAAGGGUGCAAGCGUUAAUCGGAAUUACUGGGCGUAAAGCGCGCGUAGGUGGUUCGUUAAGUUGGAUGUGAAAGCCCCGGGCUCAACCUGCGAACUGCAUCCAAAACUGGCGAGCUAGAGUACGGUAGAGGGUGGUGGAAUUUCCUGU